GACGAACGCUGGCGGCGUGCCUAAUACAUGCAAGUCGAACGAGAGCGCCCGGUGCUUGCACUGGUCAAUCUAGUGGCGAACGGGUGAGUAACACGUGGGUAACCUGCCCAUCAGAGGGGGAUAACAUUCGGAAACGGAUGCUAAAACCGCAUAGGUCUUCGAACCGCAUGGUUUGAAGAGGAAAAGAGGCGCAAGCUUCUGCUGAUGGAUGGACCCGCGGUGCAUUAGCUAGUUGGUGAGGUAACGGCUCACCAAGGCCGUGAUGCAUAGCCGACCUGAGAGGGUGAUCGGCCACAUUGGGACUGAGACACGGCCCAAACUCCUACGGGAGGCAGCAGUAGGGAAUCUUCCGCAAUGGGCGCAAGUCUGACGGAGCCACGCCGCGUGAGUGAAGAAGGUUUUCGGAUCGUAAAACUCUGUUGUUAGGGAAGAAUAAGUGCUAGAGUAACUGUUAGCGCCUUGACGGUAGCUAACCAGAAAGCCACGGCUAACUACGUG
rnacentral:rRNA from 1 species